UUUACGUUCUUAUUUCAUUUUCCUCGUAGCCACAUAAAGAAGGAGGCCACAAAAAGUCUUUUCUUCAUCGCUGUACUACUAUUUCUGCAGCGUGUCUGCAAUUAUUAUUUACUAUUUUAUAUUAUUAGUGUGAAGAAAAAAUAUUUUCAAGACUUGCGUCAGAAUAAUAUCAAGACCCUAUGACUUAAAUCCAUUAUCUUUCCCAUUUCACUUCUUGGAAAUUGUUCUUACUAUAGUACCAAGCCAAACAUAAACCUCAAAAAACAUUUGCCCAAAAAAAAAAAAAAAUUUCACCUGCUUUUGUUGGUGCUAUUUUUGAGGUAUUUCUCAAUUCUUUGUUCUUUUCCGGUUCUUAUUCAUUUUCUGUUUUUUUCUACUUUCUUAUUGUUUAUUUUUGUGUUUUUCAUGAUCUUGAGAUCAAGAAUCCAAUCUUAGAUAAAUUGGUUUUGUCAAAAGUUUCAAUCUUUUUAUGAAUCCCUCUAAAUAUUUGAUUCUGUAGUUGAAUCUUGGUUGUUAAUUUUUACCCCUACUUCUUAUUCUUCUUCCUUUUGUCCUUUUUUGGAUUUUCUGGGGUUGAAUUUGAAGCAAGUGUUGAGUUAAGAUACUAAAUUGACACAGCCUUAUCAAAAAAAAAAAAAAAAAAA
rnacentral:lncRNA from 1 species